CCUAGGAAGCGUGGGGUGGUGGUUUGCCCGACGGACCGAGUCCGGUACCGGCGGGCGCCUGCGGAAGUUCACGCACCACUGCGAGAGGCACCUUGGAUCCUCCCUCCCGUGUCGCCGACCUCCUCUUCCCUAGUCGUUCCUGGAGCAGGAUCAGACCAGAGCUGACACCAGCCCCCGCGUGGCCUCCUCAGCACCUGUGUGACUUCCUUGUCCCCGGGAUGUGGCGACAACGCCUGACUGCUGUGGCCGUAAACAUAGAAAGAAAGAAGAAGAAAAGGAAGAAAGAGCAGAUCAGAACUCCCCUGCUGAUCAGUAGCAGGAUUGUACCUGUGAGUCACCACUAUACUUCAGUCUGAAUUAAAAAAGGUCAUCAGGAAA